AUGUACUUAGCCAGUGCUACAAGACCUGACAUCUCUUUUGCUGUUAGCAAACUGAGUCGGUUUGUCUCAAAACCAGGAGAUGUGCAUUGGAAAGCUCUAGAGAGAGUUUUGCGUUAUUUGAAAGGCACUGCGAAUUAUGGAAUUCACUACACCGGGCACCCAAAGGUGCUUGAAGGGUAUAGUGACUCAAACUGGAUCUCAGAUGUUGAUGAGAUAAAGGCCACGAGCGGUUAUGUAUUCACUCAUGGAGGUGGCGCUGUUUCUUGGAAGUCUUGCAAGCAGACCAUCUUAACGAGGUCAAUAAUGGAAGCAGAACUCACAGCACUAGAUACAGCUACGGUCGAAGCAGAUUGGCUUCGCCGGCUCUUGAAUGACUUGCCGGUUGUUGAGAAACCUGUACCGGGUAUCCUUAUGAACUGCGACAAUCAAACUGUGAUCACAAAAGUGAGCAACUCAAAGGAUAACAUGAAGUCAUCGAGACACGUUCAGAGAAGGUUAAAGUCUGUCAGGAAAAUGAGAAAGUCCAGAGUUAUCGCAUUGGAUUAUAUCCAAACGUCUAAAAAUCUGGCAGAUCCUUUUACUAAGGGUCUAUCACGUAAUGUGAUAGAUAAUGCAUCGAGGGAGAUGGGUAUGAGACCCACAAUUUGA
rnacentral:rRNA from 1 species